AUGUACUUUUAUUUUCAUAUGUUCUCAUUUGGCAAUGACUAUUGUUUAAGUGAUUCUUAAGGGGUUCGUCUCUUAACCAACUGGGGUAGCCUAGUUGGCCACCGACACCAACCUCUUCUUAGAGGUACUGGGUUCGAGUCUUGGGAGUGGCAUAUGUCGCCAAGGGUAAGAACUCUACAUGAGGAAGUCACCGCGGAGCUAGCUUGGUCGGGUAGCAGCUCCCGGAGUGAGAUGUUUACUUUUUAGUUGGGAUGAAAAUCUUCUCAUGUUGUCAAUGGACUUCCAAAUCAUAUCCAAGGGGGUUUUUUUUAUCGAAGUUUUGAGAGACAUAGACAAUAGCUAUGGUUUUGAGAUGAAUAUGAACAAUCAGAUGUUAUCAGAUGCAACGGGGAAAUCGAAAUUCAUGUUAACUUGAGAUGAAAAGACCAUGUUGCCCUCAUGUGAGAGCCAUAUGGUAAGACUUAACCAAAAAUCUUAACUAGGUUAGGGUUAAAGAACAUAACAUGCUAAAAACUGGUAACAUAGCCUGUAAUUUCUUAAGUUAAAGGAUACCGGUUGUAAUUUGAUACAAACGUAAAGGACACCGGUUGUAACUCCUAAAAUUAAUAUAUGGAAAAAUCAAUACGACACUUUAGAAAUGAAUGAGAAAUUUGGAAUCACCUUAUCCAAGGCGAAUCCUCUUUGUGUUGUUCCAAUACCACUGAACUAGCAUCCUACCCCACUGAACUAGCAUCCUACCUUAUUUUAAUGAUCCAUCACAAUCUCUUUAGCUUCAAUAAUAUUAUGUAGGACAUGUACUUUUAUUUUCAUAUGUUCUCAUUUGGCAAUGGCUAUUGUUUAAGCGAUUCUUAAGGGGUUGUCUCUUUAUGUUUACUCCUUAGUUUGCUUGUACUAAUUUGAGAUGAAAAUCUUCUCAUGUUGUCGAUGGACUUCCAAGUCAUAUUUUU